GCGUGCCUAAUACAUGCAAGUCGAACGAACUCUGGUAUUGAUUGGUGCGUGCAUCAUGAUUUACAUAUGAGUGAGUGGCGAACUGGUGAGUAACACGUGGGAAACCUGCCCAGAAGCAAGGGGAUAACACCUUGGAAACAGAUGCUAAUACCGCAUAACAACUUGGACCGCAUGGUCCUAGUUUGAAAGAUGGCUUCGGCUAUCACUGAUGGAUGGUCCCGCGGCGUAUUAGCUAGAUGGUGAGGUAACGGCUCACCAUGGCAAUGAUACGUAGCCGACCUGAGAGGGUAAUCGGCCACAUUGGGACUGAGACACGGCCCAAACUCCUACGGGAGGCAGCAGUAGGGAAUCUUCCACAAUGGACGAAAGUCUGAUGGAGCAACGCCGCGUGAGUGAAGAAGGGUUUCGGCUCGUAAAACUCUGUUGUUAAAGAAGAACAUAUCUGAGAGUAACUGUUCAGGUAUUGACGGUAUUUAACCAGAAAGCCACGGCUAACUACGUGCCAGCAGCCGCGGUAAUACGUAGGUGGCAAGCGUUGUCCGGAUUUAUUGGGCGUAAAGCGAGCGCAGGCGGUUUUUUAAGUCUGAUGUGAAAGCCUUCGGCUCAACCGAAGAAGUGCAUCGGAAACUGGGAAACUUGAGUGCAGAAGAGGACAGUGGAACUCCAUGUGUAGCGGUGAAAUGCGUAGAUAUAUGGAAGAACACCAGUGGCGAAGGCGGCUGUCUGGUCUGUAACUGACGCUGAGGCUCGAAAGUAUGGGUAGCAAACAGGAUUAGAUACCCUGGUAGUCCAUACCGUAAACGAUGAAUGCUAAGUGUUGGAGGGUUUCCGCCCUUCAGUGCUGCAGCUAACGCAUUAAGCAUCCGC
rnacentral:rRNA from 1 species